rnacentral:antisense_RNA from 1 species
UGUGAACUGACAAGCCCGUGGAUGUCUACAAAGAGUGAACUGAUCACUGUGGGCUGGCCUUUGAGGCAUCAGCAAGCUCCAGUGCCUGGGACGAUGCCUGACACUUAGCAGACAGUCAGUGAAUAUGUGUUAUAUAAAUGAAUGAAUACUUGGAGCGUGAGAAUCAGAGCGGCAAAAAUAUUUGUCCAUAAUAUGCCUAAAGAUAAAAAUGGAAGCCUCCGAACUAGAUAAAUGCAUUUUACAAGCGGUAAUACAAAGAGACAGGAUUAUAUGGUCUCCAAGGUCCCAUCCAGCCCAUUUAACACAGCGUUGUGGCUCUGGAGACCUGGAAGCACCACUAACUGUUCUCCUGAUUUUCUGAUGCUCAGCCACAUCAACCUGUCAUGCUAGUUGUGAGGAGAAGUCAAGGACAGUGACACAGCCAGCCAGUCUGAGGGGUUUUCCAUCAUCCUGAAGGAGUUGCCCUAUCCUGCUUUUCACUGGAGGGGGCAUGGAUGGGGACCCUGGAUGACAAAGCAGUCACCUACUUGAACACUACUAAUUAUGAUGUCAGAAAGAGGAAAGUUUGCAGAGUUUUGUAUUGGCAAUCAAACAUUCAGCCACAGGUCACAGUCUAGAACCAGACACAUCAGUGUCCUGAACUGCAAAGUAGCCAGGAAGCAGCAUCCCAUAA